rnacentral:rRNA from 1 species
CAGUAGCCGCGGUAAUACGGAGGGUGCAAGCGUUAAUCGGAAUUACUGGGCGUAAAGCGUGCGUAGGCGGUUCGUUAAGUCUGUUGUGAAAGCCCCGGGCUCAACCUGGGAAUGGCAAUGGAUACUGGCGAGCUAGAGUGUGUCAGAGGAUGGUGGAAUUCCCGGUGUAGCGGUGAAAUGCGUAGAGAUCGGGAGGAACAUCAGUGGCGAAGGCGGCCAUCUGGGGCAACACUGACGCUGAGGCACGAAAGCGUGGGGAGCAAACAGGAUUAGAUACCCCCGUAGUCCCUGUCUCUUAUAC